AUUGAACGCUGGCGGCAUGCCUUACACAUGCAAGUCGAACGGCAGCACGGGAGCAAUCCUGGUGGCGAGUGGCGAACGGGUGAGUAAUAUAUCGGAACGUGCCCAGUAGUGGGGGAUAACUGCUCGAAAGAGCAGCUAAUACCGCAUACGACCUGAGGGUGAAAGGGGGGGAUCGCAAGACCUCUCGCUAUUUGAGCGGCCGAUAGCAGAUUAGCUAGUUGGUGGGGUAAAGGCCUACCAAGGACACGAUCUGUAGUUGGUCUGAGAGGACGACCAGGCACACUAGGACUGAGCCACGGCCCGGACGGCUACGGGAGGAGGCAGGGGGGAAUUAUGGACAAUGGGCGCAAGCCGUAUCCAGCAAUGCAGCGUGCAGGAAGAAGGCCUUCGGGUUGUAAACUGCUUUUGUCAGGGAAGAAAUCCUCUAGGUUAAUACCCUUGGGGGGAUGACGGUACCUGAAGAAUAAGCACCGGCUAACUACGUGCCAGCCGCCGCCGUAACAC
rnacentral:rRNA from 1 species